rnacentral:rRNA from 1 species
AGAGUUUGAUCCUGGCUCAGGACGAACGCUGGCGGCGCGCCUAACACAUGCAAGUCGAACGAGCGAGAGAGAGCUUGCUUUCUCAAGCGAGUGGCGAACGGGUGAGUAACGCGUGAGGAACCUGCCUCAAAGAGGGGGACAACAGUUGGAAACGACUGCUAAUACCGCAUAAGCCCACGGCUCGGCAUCGAGCAGAGGGAAAAGGAGCAAUCCGCUUUGAGAUGGCCUCGCGUCCGAUUAGCUAGUUGGUGAGGUAACGGCCCACCAAGGCGACGAUCGGUAGCCGGACUGAGAGGUUGAACGGCCACAUUGGGACUGAGACACGGCCCAGACUCCUACGGGAGGCAGCAGUGGGGAAUAUUGCACAAUGGGGGAAACCCUGAUGCAGCGACGCCGCGUGGAGGAAGAAGGUCUUCGGAUUGUAAACUCCUGUUGUUGAGGAAGAUAAUGACGGUACUCAACAAGGAAGUGACGGCUAACUACGUGCCAGCAGCCGCGGUAAAACGUAGGUCACAAGCGUUGUCCGGAAUUACUGGGUGUAAAGGGAGCGCAGGCGGGAAGACAAGUUGGAAGUGAAAUCCAUGGGCUCAACCCAUGAACUGCUUUCAAAACUGUUUUUCUUGAGUAGUGCAGAGGUAGGCGGAAUUCCCGGUGUAGCGGUGGAAUGCGUAGAUAUCGGGAGGAACACCAGUGGCGAAGGCGGCCUACUGGGCACCAACUGACGCUGAGGCUCGAAAGUGUGGGUAGCAAACAGGAUUAGAUACCCUGGUAGUCCACACCGUAAACGAUGAUUACUAGGUGUUGGAGGAUUGACCCCUUCAGUGCCGCAGUUAACACAAUAAGUAAUCCACCUGGGGAGUACGACCGCAAGGUUGAAACUCAAAGGAAUUGACGGGGGCCCGCACAAGCAGUGGAGUAUGUGGUUUAAUUCGAAGCAACGCGAAGAACCUUACCAGGUCUUGACAUCCGAUGCAUAGCACAGAGAUGUGUGAAAUCCUUCGGGACAUCGAGACAGGUGGUGCAUGGUUGUCGUCAGCUCGUGUCGUGAGAUGUUGGGUUAAGUCC